GUCUAUGACUGUGCCACCCUGAACAAGCCUGAUCCUGUCUGGUCUCGGAAUCUAAGCAGGAUAGGGCCUGGUUAGUACUUGGAUGGGAGACCUAGGAAGACCAGGUGCUGUAGUUG
rnacentral:rRNA from 1 species